GACGAACGCUGGCGGCGUGCCUAACACAUGCAAGUUGAGCGACGAACCAGGGCUUGCCCUGGGGCAAAGCAGCGAACGGGUGAGUAACACGUGGGUAACCUACCCCGAUAACCGGGACAACCCGAGGAAACUCGGGCUAAUACCGGAUGUGCUCACUGGACUUCGGUUCAGUGCGUAAAGGAAGCUUCGGCCUCCGUAUCGGGAGGGGCCCGCGGCCCAUUAGUUUGUUGGUGAGGUAACGGCUCACCAAGACCGCGAUGGGUAGCUGGUCUGAGAGGACGAUCAGCCACACUGGGACUGAGACACGGCCCAGACUCCUACGGGAGGCAGCAGUGGGGAAUCCUGCGCAAUGCGCGAAAGCGUGACGCAGCAACGCCGCGUGGGGGAAGAAGGCCUUCGGGUUGUAAACCCCUUUCAGGAGGGACGAAGGUUCGGCGGUGAAUAGCCGUCCGGACUGACGGUACCUCCACAAGAAGCCCCGGCUAACUACGUG
rnacentral:rRNA from 1 species